rnacentral:rRNA from 1 species
GGAUUAGAAACCCCGGUAGUCCACGCCGUAAACGAUGGGUGCUAGGUGUGGGGGGUUAUCCACUCCCUCCGUGCCGUAGCUAACGCAUUAAGCACCCCGCCUGGGGAUUACGACCGCAAGGUUAAAACUCAAAGGAAUUGACGGGGGCCCGCACAAGCGGCGGAGCAUGUGGCUUAAUUCGACGCAACGUGAAGAACCUUACCAGGGCUUGAAAUAUACGGAAAAGCCACAGAGAUGUGGUGUCCUUCGGGCCGGUAUACAGGUGGUGCAUGGUUGUCGUCAGCUCGUGCCGUGAGGUGUUGGGUUAAGUCCCGCAACGAGCGCAACCCUUGAUCUUAGUUGCCAGCAUUCAGUUGGGCACUCUAAGGUGACUGCCGGUGACAAACCGGAGGAA